rnacentral:rRNA from 1 species
AUUGAACGCUGGCGGCAGGCCUAACACAUGCAAGUCGAGCGGAUGAAGGGAGCUUGCUCCUGGAUUCAGCGGCGGACGGGUGUGUAAUGCCUAGGAAUCUGCCUGGUAGUGGGGGAUAACGUCCGGAAACGGGCGCUAAUACCGCAUACGUCCUGAGGGAGAAAGUGGGGGUUCUUCGGACCUCACGCUAUCAGAUGAGCCUAGGUCGGAUUAGCUAGUUGGUGGGGUAAAGGCCUACCAAGGCGACGAUCCGUAACUGGUCUGAGAGGAUGAUCAGUCACACUGGAACUGAGACACGGUCCAGACUCCUACGGGAGGCAGCAGUGGGGAAUAUUGGACAAUGGGCGAAAGCCUGAUCCAGCCAUGCCGCGUGUGUGAAGAAGGUCUUCGGAUUGUAAAGCACUUUAAGUUGGGAGGAAGGGCAGUAAGUUAAUACCUUGCUGUUUUGACGUUACCAACAGAAUAAGCACCGGCUAACUUCGUG